rnacentral:rRNA from 1 species
UACGGGGGGGGGCAAGCGUUGUCCGGAAUUAUUGGGCGUAAAGAGCUCGUAGGCGGUGUGUCACGUCGGCCGUGAAAACUCACAACUCAAUUGUGGGCGUGCGGGCGAUACGGGCAGACUGGAGUACUGCAGGGGAGACUGGAAUUCCCGGUGUAGCGGUGGAAUGCGUAGAGAUCGGGAAGAAUACCUGUGGCGAAGGCGGCCCACUGGGCUGGAUCUGACGCUGAGGCGCGAAAGCGUGGGGAGCAAACAGG